GCCGAGUUGGUCUAAGGCGUUGGAUUAAGGCUCCAAUCUCGCAAGGGGCGUGGGUUCGAAUCCCACCGGGGCC
rnacentral:tRNA from 1 species